UUGUCCGGUCAAGGAAUGAUUCCUGUUAAGUAGAAUUGGAAUUCCUCAGUGUUUGCAGGUUUCCUUCCAGUUCUGAGAUCUGGCAAACAAAAGGGAGAGGGGGUCAGGCCUGGAGACCAGGAUGGGCCCUGCCCCUUCUGAUCCCCUAGUGGGGACAUGACCCUGAGCCAGCAGCAUGACUCUCCUUCUCUCCCUCCAGAAUCCACAGAGGGGUGCUAGAGGGGGGGAUCACCUGCUGCCCCCUCCGUACACCCCGGUCUUACCUUGUCCAGGAGCUUAUCCAUCUCCUCCUUCCUAGCCAGCUCCGACUCUUCCAGAACCCGGCGCUGUGCGGUCUCCUUUUUCAGGAACUCGAUCUCCCUAGGGAUUGGCAGGGGACAGAAAAGACCGUGGAUAAGGGACCUCACUGCUGUGACUUCACUGCUGCACCAGAGCUCAGCUUCAAGCCCCUGCCUGCCCCACCAACCUCGUUGUCUGCAACACCACUUGCUAUCUGUCUUCCGGCACAGAGGCCUGCCCGCAGAUCCUCAGACUUGCCACAGGGCCUUUGCCCAUGCACUUCCCUCUGCCUGGAAUGUCCCUACCUCCUCCCCACCUUGCCCAUUAUUUCCCACUAGCUCACCCUUCAGCUCUCUGCUCAGUGUAUCACUUCCCCAGAGAAGUCUCCUGUGAUUCCCUCCAGCAGCAUCCCCUCGAGCACAAACACACCCUGGCUGGAUCAGACUCCCUGCUGCACCACUCUGGGAGCUCAGCAAGCCUGCACUCUCCUGCAGAGCACCAUGUCGAUUGGUAACAGUAUGGAUGGACAUCAGUGUGCACACUAAGCUCCACAAGGGCGGCAGUCAAAUCUGCUGCUGUCCCCCGCAGGGAUUGGAAAAGACUGGGGCACUCAGAAGCCCAACACACACUUGAAACCAGGACUUAUGAUGCCUCCACACAGCCCCCCUUCCUCACCCUGCAAAGGAUGUAAGUGCCAUGAGGACAGGGGGCUCACUCAGUUUGUUUACUGCUGUCCUCCCUGGACUGGCACCUCCAUCAACACCUGAGCCCUGCAGUGGCCUGGCCUGGCUCAGUGGCCUGGCUGGCAGCUGGCUGCUGUGGGGAAGGGGAGCUGGUACCUGCCAUCCCGGUGGGCUGCACCACCCUCGGUCACCGUCUUCACAAAGAUGCCCAGCUUCUCGAGGCCCAUGUCGGCUCCAGCCCCCAUGCCAAUGAUGCUGAUGCCCAGGCCUUCGGAGUCUGUGGAGCAGAAAGUCAUGAGAGGCUGGUGUUGGGAGGUAGAGGUGAGGUGUUCUGGCCAGGGCUUGUGGGGGACAGAGUAAGAGACACCCCCUGACCCCCUACCUCACCCCAGGGCCCACCCGACCUCAAACAGCAGUCCCCAUGCUUAGGGGAUGUCCACAACUGGGGAAGGGACACCAUCCUGUCCACCCCCUCUUUGCCAAGCCAAUUAGGAAGCUCUUGGGUCACCCCCUGCCCUUUGCUCCCCCCAAGAACCAAUGAGCCGCAGGACACACUGAAGGUGGAACCUAGGAGGGUGGGCGGGCCAGAGACUGCCUACACGCAGAUGAGGGGUGCGGAGGGAUGGGACGGUGUGGGGGUAGCCAUGAUGGGGUUGGUCUUCUCUACGCACGCUCAUCCAUACUCACGGCCUCAAUGACCGAAGACCUCCUGCUCUUCUCUCCACAGCUGUCCCCUCCUGUCUCACGAACCUCUGACAUCCAAACUCUUAUCUUCCCCCACAAACAGGCUCUUCCCGUCUGCCACUCCCUCAUGGGGCCUGGAAGUCACCUGGAUUCCUCCCUCCCCCUCAUGGUCUCAGCCAGAGCCAAAUAACCACCAGAUCCUGCAGAUUCUACCUCCAAGGACCUCUCAGAGCUCAACGCAAGUGCAAGCAUUAUUUCCUUGGGGACCCCACUGACCUGAGUCUGCAUGUUGUGGCGGCCUCUCCCGUCCCUGCCCAGCACCUACUAUAGCAUGUAAGGACACAGUUAGCGGGCAUUGGUGACUGCUCUGUCACCACCAGGCCCCAACAGAGCCCGGGACCCUGCCCACGGGGCCCUGGGGACUGGGCACCUAAAGGGGCAGAGUGUGGGCCGGCGGGGGGCGGUGGGAGGAGCUCUGGCUGCUGGAGUCCCUGUGGCUGGGGGCAGUGGCCUCAGGGGCCCAGGGUGGAGCUGGCGCCAGAGAGGAGAUUCCCCCACGCUCUGUGGCCUGGCCCUGGGCCUCUCACCCUUCUCCAGCUCUACAGGGAACAGCUCCAGCCUCUCCACCCGUUUCUCCAGCUCAUACUCAGCCGAGGCGGCCAUGGGGUCCACGUCCUCGUUGCGCCGGUCGUAGUCUUCGUUGGAGUAGGUACUGAACACCU